rnacentral:lncRNA from 1 species
UGCAGGAGCCAGAACUAGGGGCUGGAUAAUGGAGAAGCUUGCAUGCUAAACUUAUUACGAACUUUAUUUUGAAAGUAGUGGAACGUUAUUGGACCACUUCAAAAGCGGAGUGUUACGUUCAGGCUUGAAUUUUAGAAAUAUCUGUCUGGUAGCCAUGUGCAGGUUGGUUGGAAAGGGAGGCAUCAGACAGGAGACGAAUGAGAAAGCUGUUGCAGUCAUCUGGGACCCCUAUUUGUGACCAAUUGUAAGAUCAUCUGAAGAUCGAGUCCGAUUGCCUGGCCAGGCCGGGCUGGGUGGUAUGUGCCCCCGUCACGCCGGAGGUUCCUGCUUUAGCGACGCCAAAGAUUGGGUGUGAGGGCAGCCCGCGGUGACAGAGACACGGAUCGGACCGAGAGAAAAAGGCUGUGGGCUUCACUGAGCAGAGUGACGUCAAUUCACAGGACCUCCACAGUGUGCCUUUUGCUGGGUAGGAAAAUGCCAGCCAGCUUGGAAAACAAGAAGACACAUUUAUGUCUACCAUGAGCAUUGGCAUCAGCCAAUUAUCCCACACGUUUUCGGCUAGUCAGUGCUGAAGAGAGCAAGAAUUUCAACCCUUCUUGCUACAUUCAAGACAUAGAAAUCCAGCCAGAAGACAACUCGAGAUAUUUUGUGGAUCUAUGCCUUUCCUUCAGAAAAGCAAAUAUCUACCAUAAAAAAACACUGGUCCAAUAUUCACUUCUAUAAGAAAUGCAGGGGCAAAUAAAUUAUGGAUUUUAUUAUCGCUAAUAGAGUCACUUAACCAUUACUCCUUACUACAUUCUGCUUUUCUAACAAAAUUUCGACUGAAUAUUCUCCCUCAGAGCCUCCAAAAGGAACCAACUGAUGACAACUGAUUUUGGACUUCUGGCCUCCUGAACUAUAACAAAAUAAACAUCUGUUGU